GACGAACGCUGGCGGCGUGCUUAACACAUGCAAGUCGAACGGAAAGGCCCUGCUUUUGUGGGGUGCUCGAGUGGCGAACGGGUGAGUAACACGUGAGUAACCUGCCCUUGACUUUGGGAUAACUUCAGGAAACUGGGGCUAAUACCGGAUAGGAGCUCCUGCUGCAUGGUGGGGGUUGGAAAGUUUCGGCGGAUGGGGAUGGACUCGCGGCUUAUCAGCUUGUUGGUGGGGUAGUGGCUUACCAAGGCUUUGACGGGUAGCCGGCCUGAGAGGGUGACCGGCCACAUUGGGACUGAGAUACGGCCCAGACUCCUACGGGAGGCAGCAGUGGGGAAUAUUGCACAAUGGGCGGAAGCCUGAUACAGCAACGCCGCGUGCGGGAUGACGGCCUUCGGGUUGUAAACCGCUUUCGCCUGUGACGAAGCGUGAGUGACGGUAAUGGGUAAAGAAGCACCGGCUAACUACGUG
rnacentral:rRNA from 1 species